UAAUACGAAGGUGGCAAGCGUUGUUCGGAAUCACUGGGCUUAAAGCGCGCGUAGGCGGAAGUUCAAGUGUCCUGUGAAAUCCCCCGGCUCAACCGGGGAACUGCGGGGCAAACUGGAUUUCUUGAGGCAAGUAGGGGUACAUGGAACUCUUAGUGGAGCGGUGGAAUGCGUAGAUAUUAAGAGGAACGCCGAUGGUGAAGACAGUGUACUGGGCUUGUCCUGACGCUGAGGUGCGAAAGCGUGGGGAGCGAACGGGAUUAGAUACCCCGGUAGUCCACGCCGUAAACGAUGUCUACUAGGUUGUGGAGGUUCUGACACCCUCACAGUCGAAGCAAAAGUGUUAAGUAGACCGCCUGGGGAGUACGGUCGCAAGGCUA
rnacentral:rRNA from 1 species